rnacentral:rRNA from 1 species
CCUACGGGUGGCAGCAGUGGGGAAUAUUGGACAAUGGGGGCAACCCUGAUCCAGCCAUGCCGCGUGUGUGAAGAAGGCCCUCGGGUUGUAAAGCACUUUCAGUGAGGAAGAACGCCUGGUGGUUAAUACCCAUCAGGAAAGACAUCACUCACAGAAGAAGCACCGGCUAACUCCGUGCCAGCAGCCGCGGUAAUACGGAGGGUGCGAGCGUUAAUCGGAAUUACUGGGCGUAAAGCGCGCGUAGGUGGCUUGAUAAGCCGGUUGUGAAAGCCCCGGGCUCAACCUGGGAACGGCAGCCGGAACUGUCAAGCUAGAGUGCAGGAGAGGAAGGUAGAAUUCCCGGUGUAGCGGUGAAAUGCGUAGAGAUCGGGAGGAAUACCAGUGGCGAAGGCGGCCUUCUGGACUGACACUGACACUGAGGUGCGAAAGCGUGGGUAGCAAACAGGAUUAGAUACCCUAGUAGUC